AAAACGAGUUCCAAACAACCGUCUUGAAACACGGACCAAGGAGUUUAAUUUACAUGCGAGUUUGCGAGUGCAAAACUCAUAAGCGAAAUGAAAGUGAGUACGAGGUGCCAAGCCGCAAGGUGGCAGCAUCGGCCUUCCCUGAUCUUCUGUGAAGGGUAUGAGCAAGAGCAUGUAUGUUAAGACCCGAAAGAUGACGAUCUAUGCUUGAGUAGGAUGAAGCCAGGAGAAAUUCUGGUGGAGGUCCGAACAGAUACUAACGUGCAAAUUGUUCUGCGAACUUGAGUAUAGGGGCGAAAAACCAAUCGAGUCUUCUAGUAGCUGGUUCCUUCUGAAGUUUCUCUCAGGAUAGCAAGGACAACAACGCAGUUUUAUUAGGUAAAGCUAAUGAUUAGAGGCAUCUGGAGGUCAAUCUUCUGGACCUAUUCUCAAACUUUAAAUUGGUAAGAACCUUUGGUUUUCUUAACUGAACCGAGGGGCGGAAUGCGUGUUCUUAGUGGGCCAUUUUUGGUAAGCAGAACUGGCGAUGAGGGAUGCUCCUAAAGUUGAGUUAAGGUGCCUAAAUUGCAAGCAUCAGACACCAUAAAAGGCGUUGAUUCGUUCAGACAAUCGGAACGUGACCCUGAGAGUAGGUAUCGUUUAAAGACCGUUUCCCACCCACCGAUUUAACGAAUCAGCCCUAAAAAUGGAUGGCGCUAUAUUGCAAUACCGACACUCGACCUUCAAGGCAAAAAACAGUCUUGAAGAGUAAGAAGGCGUGGAAGUAGUGCUGAAGCCGCGACGUGAGUCUAGGUGGAACUGCUUCUAGUGCAGAUCUUGGUGGUAGUAGUAAUUAUUCAAAUGAGAACUUUGAAGACUGAAGCUAGAGACGGGUUCCGUGAGAACAGCAAUUGGUCACGGGUUACUCGAUCCUAAGGCAAGGCGGAAACGCUACGAAGCAGUGUUCCACUGCGGUGCCGAAAGGGAAUGAGGUUAAUAUUCCUCAAGUUUGCAAUGGAUCCUGUGUGGCAACACAAACAACCUUGGAGACAUCGGCGCGUACCCCUGGAAGAGUUUUCUUUUCUUCUUAACCGCUAGAAGCCAUGGAAUUGGAUUAUCCAGAGAUAUGGCCCUAAGGCGGGAAGAGCAGCCCAGUUUUCGGGUUGGUGGUGCGUUCGCGACGAUCAGUGAAAAUCCAAGUGCGAUACUUAAUCCAUUCAAAAUCGUACCCACAACCGCAUCAGGUCUCUAAGGUUAGCAGCCUCUGGUCAACUAGAAGAAAGUCAUUUAGGGAAUUCGGCAAAAUAGAUCCGUAACUUCGGGAAAAGGAUUGGCUCUGAGGACUGGGCACGCAUCCUUUUGUCCACGACCUAUUGAGUUCGGCUGAGGGCCUAGCCCUAGGCUGCGCACGAGAAGUCGGAGACUUGAGGUUUGUUUGCGAUCAUCAGUCAGCUCAGAACUGAAGCGGUCAAGGGGAAUCUAACUGUUUAAUAAAAACAAAGCUUUGUGAUGUCCCGAAAGGGUUUUGACACAAUGUGAUUUCUGCCCAGUGCUUUGAACGUUAACGUGAAGAAAUUCAACUAAGCGCAGGUAAACGGCAGGUGUAACUAUAACACUUUUAAGGUAGCCAAAUGCCUCGUCAUCUAAUUAGUGACGUGCAUGAAUGGAUCAAUGAGAUUCCUACUGUCCCAAAUGACCAUCUAACGAACCCACAGCCAAGGGAACGGGCUUGGCAAAAUCAGCGGGGAAAGAAGACCCUGUUGAGCU
rnacentral:rRNA from 1 species